rnacentral:rRNA from 1 species
UACGUAGGUGGCAAGCGUUGUCCGGAUUUACUGGGCGUAAAGAGCGCGCAGGCGGUUGUUUAAGUCGAAUGUGAAAGCCCCCGGCUCAACUGGGGAGGGUCAUUCGAUACUGAUCGACUUGAAGGCAGGAGAGGGAAGUGGAAUUCCGGGUGUAGUGGUGAAAUGCGUAGAUAUCUGGAGGAACACCGGUGGCGAAGGCGGCAUCCUGGACCGGCAUUGACGCUGAGGAGCGAAAGCCAGGGGAGCAAACGGG